UUGGUAACAGUCGGUCUCCCUGGCUGUUUUCUGAGUGCCCGUGUGGCAAUAAACGUUUCUCUGCUGAAUGCCUCCUCCACAGGACACGGAGCACUAAAAAGGGACAACAAAAAAAACAUCGUUCAGUAGACUGGUCAGCCUGUAAUGAAAAGAAGCACGAAUUACAUAGCAUAAGAACUAAAGCAAUGAAGAUUUGUAGAUUGAUGAACAGAGAGAUACAAGGUCCAAUCCGGUGAGAUGUUGUGAGCUCUUAUAGAAGGUCAACACCUUACAGGAUGAACUCCCAUGUGAGCUGGGGUCACACAUGCAAUUCAUUCACAGUACCAGGAAGAGUAUCCAGAAUAUGUGACUCUAAGACCUAUGCUCUACAUGGGAAAAGAGUUAGAAUCAUAGAUUCAUAGGACUGGAAGGGACCUUGAGAGGUCAUCUAGUCCAGUCCCCUGCACUCAAGGCACGACUAAUCAUCUAGACCACCCCGACUGGUGUUUGUCUAACCUGUUCUUAAAAAUCUCCAAUGCUGGAGAUUCUACAACCUCCCUAGGCAAUUUAUUCCAGUGCUUAACCACCCUGACAGGAAGUUUUUGCUAAUGUCCAACCUAAACCUCCCUUGCUGCAAUUUCUCUGCCUGUAGCACACAAUAGUUCAGUCUCCUGUUGGCUGUAAUAUUUUAGUUAUUGAGUUUAGUGCAUGGGUGGCAUGUGAUAUAUGUGAUCUGAUCUGAUGGCCCCUUCUGAUCUUAAACUUGAUAUCGCUAGGCGACUUUCACACGCAUUUACAUGCAUGUAGUUGCAUUCUGACCUUAAGGUCUAGGAGUCUAUGUACAUUUAACUAAUUUUGCUAAUGCUUGAGUAUAAUUGGUAUAUUCUCAAGAUGAUGUUGUCUGGUACCAAACAUUCUUCUGUUCUCCCUUUCUAGAACAUAAAUGAAAAAGAGAAGCUGUGCAUAAACAUUUUUUGAUCUAAGCCGUAUUUGCUUUCAUGUAUAUGUGAACUGUAAACUCUUUUACUCUUAAAAGAAACAAUAGUAGGAUGAACAAUCAAAUGAAACGAAGACUCUGAGGACUGAAAUUCCUUUUGACAAGAGCACACAUUGUGAUGUUUUUAAAAUUCUUUUUAGCUAUUUCCAGUUUUUUUGGGGCACUAUUUUUAAGCAUAUGUGAUGCAGAAAAAAAGCUUAAGGAUGUGCUUCACUUCUACUGUAUGUGAUUUAUGGAGGUACACACCAAGGUGGUGCACUCUGACUCCUUUUAUUUCUAACACUGGAAGAACUUUGCAUGUCGAUAACAGAAUUUAGAAUUCUUUUAUAGCUGGAAACAACAUGGUCUGCUUACAUUUUAUGCCAGUAACAGCUCCACAGUGAGGUAAGCUUUGACCUUGGCUUCUUUAAAGCCUGUGAAGUGUACGGAUGAAAACACUUCUUUUUUCUUGUUUUGUUUGUAGAAAAUACUUCAAAGCAAUGGGAAAAGGGGGGAUUGAGACUCUCUUUUCAUGGAAUAUCAGCCUGAUCUAAAGAUCAUUUAAGUCAAUAAAGAGACUGCUACUAACCAAAAUUGGCUUUGGAUCUGGCCCUAAAUGUGCAGCAGAGGUAUUGGAUGGAUGGUCUUAUGCUGAUCGGGUUUCUGGACUUAAGGGUUGUACUCUCAGACAUGCUUUGUUAGUCUAACUCUGUUCUCACUGACAUGCUUUUGUAGAUUCAACCCUAACAUCUUACAAACUGGGCAGAUUGUCUGGCAUAACAAAGGAAACAACAACAAAAUUAAGCUUAAAUCUUGCAGUCUUGCCUCAUGCAAAACUUACAU